rnacentral:rRNA from 1 species
AGUGAACGCUGGCGGUAGGCCUAACACAUGCAAGUCGAACGGCAGCACAGUAAGAGCUUGCUCUUACGGGUGGCGAGUGGCGGACGGGUGAGGAAUACAUCGGAAUCUACUUUUUCGUGGGGGAUAACGUAGGGAAACUUACGCUAAUGCCGCAUACGACCUACGGGUGAAAGCAGGGGAUCUUCGGACCUUGCGCGAUUGAAUGAGCCGAUGUCGGAUUAGCUAGUUGGCGGGGUAAAGGCCCACCAAGGCGACGAUCCGUAGCUGGUCUGAGAGGAUGAUCAGCCACACUGGAACUGAGACACGGUCCAGACUCCUACGGGAGGCAGCAGUGGGGAAUAUUGGACAAUGGGCGCAAGCCUGAUCCAGCCAUACCGCGUGGGUGAAGAAGGCCUUCGGGUUGUAAAGCCCUUUUGUUGGGAAAGAAAAGCAGCAGGUUAAUACCCCGCUGUUCUGACGGUACCCAAAGAAUAAGCACCGGCUAACUUCGU